rnacentral:lncRNA from 1 species
AUAUAUAUAUAUAGUUCCGAUCAUGAUGAACCAGAUGCAUAGGAUAAAACUUCUGAUGAAAUUCCAAUUUCAAUCGGUUGUAGUUCCAUGAUCCAAUAUCAUCACAUAGCCUAUACCAUGUCAAUGCCUUCUCCUUCAAAGAUAAAGGGAAGACCUUAUUCUUCACUUCAUCCUCGGGCAAACCUGCAAGAUUAAAAAAUCCACAAACUUCAUCCACAUAGAUUAGAUGCAUAUCACGAUGUAAUGUUCCAUCUCCUCUCUAAGGAUGAGCUAGCAGUUUCUCUAUCAUACCCGACGGAAUUUCAUAAUAAAUAUAUUCAGUAAGUGUAGUAGGUUGAGGAGCAACUCUUUGCUCUUCCUGUCGAGGUGAAGAUACCCCGAACAAGCCCCUCAAAGGAUUAUUUUCAAUAGUAACAAGUGACCGUAAAUUUCAGCACACUAUAUAAAUGUUUCCUUACCAAAUUCCACUUACCAAAGGCACUUCACUCCCCGGCAAUGAUGCCAGAAUAGAGUCUUGAUGACCCAAAAUUAUAGGGGAUCUGUCGUAGUCCUUUCGAUAAGUAAGAGUGUUGAACCCAACAAGGAGCAAAAGGAAAUGACAAGCAGUUUUCAGCAAGGUAUUCUCUACAAGCACUGAAAUUAUCGGUAACAGAUAGUUUUGUGAUAGAGUAAUUCGUAACGAGUAACAAGUAACAAAAGUAAACAAGGUGCAACAAGGUGGACCAAUCCUUUUGGUAGCAAAGGACAAGCCUGGACAAACUAUUAUAAAAAGCAAAGCGCUCCCGAGAACACAUGGGAAUUACUGUCAAGCUAAUUUUCAUCAUGCUCAUAUGAUUCACCUUCCCUACUUUGAUGAUUUGAUAUGUGGGUGGACCGGUGCUUGGGUGCUCCCCUUCCUUGGAAAAGCCUCCCACUUAUGAUUGACCCCUCCCGCAAGCAUCCGCAACUAUGAAAGAAGAAUUAAGAUAAAUCUAACAAUAGCAUGAAACAUAUGGAUCCAAAUCAGCCCCUUACGAAGCAACGCAUAAACUAGGGUUCAAGCUUCUGUCACUCUAGCAACCCAUCAUAUACUUAUUACAUCCCAAUGCCUCCCCCUAGGCCCAGAUCAUGGUGAAGUGUCAUGUAGUCAACGUUCAAAUAACACCACUAGAGGAAAGACAACAUACAUCUCAUCAAAAUAUCAAACGAAUACCAAAUUCACAUGAUUACUUAUAACAAGACUUCUCUCGUGUUCCCAGGAACGAAUGUAACUACUCACAAAGCAUAUUCAUGUUCAUAAUCAGAGGAGUAUUAAUUAUCAAUAAGGAUCUGAACAUAUGAUCUUCCACCGAAUAAACCAACUAGCAUCAACUACAAGGUGUAAUCAACACUACUAGCAACCCACAUGUACGAAUCUGAGGUUUUGAGACAAAGAUUGGAUACAAGAGAUGAACUAGGGUUUGAGAGGAGAUGCUGCUGGUGAAGAUGUUGGUGGAGAUUGACCCCCUCUCGGUGAGAGGAUCGAUGGUGACCAUGAUGGUGAUGAUUUCCCCCUCCCGGAGGGAUGUUUCCCCGGCAGAACAGCUCUGCUGGAGCCCUAGAUUGGUUCUGCCCAGGUUUCGCCUCGAGAUGGCGGCGCUGCAUCCCGAAAGCUUCCUUAUGAUUUUUUAGGCAAAAGACACCAUAUAGCAGAAGAUGGGCGUCGGGGCCUGCCAUAUGGCCCACAAGGAUGGGGGGCGUGCCCAGGGGGGUAGGGCGCGCCCUCCACCCUUGUGGAUGGUAGGUGGCCCCCCUCUGGUACUUUCUUCGCCCAAUAUUUUAUUAAAUCUAAAAUGACUCUUCGUGAAGUUUUAGGACUUUUGGAGUUGUGCAGAAUAGGUCUCUAAUAUUUGCUCCUUUUCCAGCCCAGAAUUCCAGCUGUCGGCAUUCUCCCUCUUCAUGUAAACCUUGUACAAUAAGAGAGAAGAGGCAUAAGUAUUGUGCCAUAAUGUGUAAUAACAGCCCAUAAUGCAAUAAAUAUUGAUAUAAAAGAAUGAUGCAAAAUGUACGUAUCAGUGGCUAGCAGGGGCACGGCUGGGCGCCACAGGCGGGUGCAGGGACCGGGCGCGGUCAUAGAGCGGCGUGCGCGGCCGCGAACACGGCCAGCGUCGCGAGGAGCAUGACCACAACACGACGACCGCGAGCUCGCGGGAGCUCGGGAAUGGGGCGGUUCGGUGGCCUACGGUAGGAGGAAGAAGAAGGGGGUGAGGAGGGGCUCACGAUGCGGCGAUAGGGAUAGGCAGCAUGCCCGAGGAGGCAGGAUGGCGUCAGAGCAGCGAUGGGGGCGACGGCUCAUGCGGGGGGCGCUCCCAGUGGCCGUAGCGGAUGAAGCGGCUAUGUCGGGUAUGCGCAAGAGAGGAACAGGAGUGAGGGAAGGGGAGGAGAGGGGGCUAGGGUUCGCCCGGGUGGCACUUGUAGGGCGCUAGGGGGUGGAUGGUCGCCACGCCCGGCCAUCGCCGGUAGAUGGGCGGCACGAUCCCCCCUGCUCCUGUAGCGAGGAGGGGGGUGAAGUGAGGUGGGUUGGUUGGCCCCUCUGGCUAAAGCCCAGAGGGGGCUUUUGUUCUUUUCCUUUUUUAAAAAAAUCUCUUUUUAUUAUUCCUAUUCUUUUGAAAACCAACAUAGUUUUAUUAAAUACAAAACUUGCACCUAAAAUAUUAUUAUAAAUCAGGAUGCUGCCACAAUAAGUUUAGUAGUUAAAUAAAUUAGUUUAGCAUUUUUAUAAAUCAAAAGGCAUUUAAAUAAUUGCUUUAGCCACUGUUUUAAUUAUUUUAGGGCAUUAAACCACUUUACAAAAAUGUUGGUUGACCAUCACAAUUAGUUAUGGCAUAUUUACCACAUGAUGAACAUUUUAGUUUUAUAGUUUGAUGAAAUAAUUUUUUGACUUUAUUUAAAUUUGAAAAUGGCUUGAUUUUUAUCAAGUGGCAAUUUGGCUUUGUUUAAACUUGAUGACAUGGCACCAUUAGUGUGAGGUCACUGUAGCAUGAUACUUGGGGUGUAACAAGGGUGAUGCAGCAAAGUAGAGAUAAGUAUUUCUCUCAGUCUGAGAACCAAGGUAUCAACCCAGUAGGAAAACCAAUCAAGAUCUCGUUAAUGGCACCUACACACAAAAGAACAAAUACUUGCAUCCAACGCGAUAAAGGGGUUGUCAAUCCCUUCAACGAUUACUUGCAAGGAUUAACUGAUAAUGGUAGAUAUACAAAUAAAGCAAAAUAAAACGCAGCAAAGUAUUUUUUUCUUUUAUCGAUGGUAAAGAAUAGAGCCGGGGGCCAUAGUUUUCACUAGAGGCUUCUCUCUCGAUAGAAAGCAUACGGUGGGUAAAAAUUUACUGUUGGGCAAUUGAUUGAAAAGCGCAUAGUUAUGACGAUAUCUAAGGCAAUGAUCAUGAAUAUAGGCAUCACGUCCGAGACAAGUAGACCGACUCCUGCGUGCAUCUUCGACUAUUACUCCACCCAUGAACGCUAUCCAGCAUGCAUCUAGCGUAUCAAGUUAAUAAAAACUGAGUAAUACUUUAAGCAAGAUGACAUGAUAUAGAGAGAUAGAUCCAAGCAAUAUGAAUAAACCCCAUCUUUUUGUUCUUACUCGCAACAAUACAAAUAUGUGUCAUGUCCCUUCCAGUCACAUGGAUUGAGCACGGCAAGAUUGAACCCAUCACAAAGCACCUCUCACAUUGCAAGAAAAAUCAAUCUAGUUGGCCAAACCAAAUCAAUAGAUCAGAGAGAAAUACAAAGAUAUAAGAAUCGUGCAUAAAAGAGUUCAAAGAAGACUCAAAUAAUAUUCAUAGAUAAUCUGAUCAUAAGUGUUGGGGAACGUAGCAUGCAAUUUCAAAAAAAAUCCUACGCUCACGCAAGAUCUAUCUAGGAGAUGCAUAGCAACGAGAAGGGAGAGUGUGUCCACGUACCCUCGAAGACCGAAAACAGAAGUGUUAGGUUAACGCGGUUGAUGUAGUCGAACGUCUUCAUGAUCCUACCGAUCCAAGUACCGAAUGUACGGCACAUCUGUGUUCAGCACACGUUCAGCUCGAUGACGUCCCUCGAACUCUUGAUCCAGCAGAGGGUCGAGGGAGAAUUCUGUCAGCACGACGGUGUGGUGACGGUGUUGGUGAUGUGAUCCGCUCAGGGCUUCGCCUAAGCACUACGACGUUAUGACCGGAGGAGUAAACUGUGGAGGGGGGCACCGCACACGGCUAAGAACAAUUGAUGUACUAUGGGGUGCCCCCUGCCCCCGCAUAUAAAGGAGGGGAGGAGGAGGCCGGCGCCCUAGGGGCGCGCCAACUGUGGGGAGUCCUACUAGUUCUCCCAAGUCCUAGUAGGAUUCCCCUUUCCUUUCCGGAGUAGGAAAGAGGGAAAGGGAGAGGGAGUAGAAAAGGGCAAGGGGGGAGCCGCCCCCACCCCUAGUCCAAUUCAGACUCAAUGGGGGGCGCCACCUCCCUUGGCGUGCCUCCUCUUCUCCCCUAUGGCCCAAUAAGGCUCAUUACUUCCCCGAGGGGUUCCGGUAACCCCUCGGUACUCCGAAAAAUAUCUGAAUCACUCCGAAACCAUUCCGGUGUCCGAAUAUAACCUUCCAAAAUAUCAAUAUUUACCUCUCAAGCAUUUCAAGACUCCUCGUCAUGUCUGUGAUCUCAUCCGGUACUCCGAACAAACUUCGGUCACCAAAACACAAAACUCAUAAGACAAAUCGUCAUCGAACGUUAAGUGUGCGGACCCUACGGGUUCGAGAACUAUGUAGACAUGACCGAGACACAUCUCCGGUCAAUAACCAAUAGCAGAACCUGGAUGCUCAUAUUGGUUCCUACAUAUUCUACGAAGAUCUUUAUCGGUCAAAGCGCAUAACAACAUACGUCAUUCGUUUUGUCAUCGCUAUGUUACUUGCCCGAGAUUCGAUCGUCGGUAUCAUACCUAUUUCAAACUCGUUACUGGCAAGUCUCUUUACUCGUUUCGUAAUGCAUCAUCCGUAGCUACUAAUUAGUCACAUUGCUUGCAAGGCUUAUAGUGAUGUGCAUUACCAAGAGGGCCCAGAGAUACCUCUCCGAUACUUGGAGUGAAAAAUCCUAAUCUCAAUCUAUGCCAACCCAACAAACACCUUUGGAAACACCUGCAGAGCAUCUAUAUAAUCACCUAGUUACGUUGUGACGUUUGAUAGCACACAAGGUGUUCCUCCGGUAUUCGGGAGUUGCAUAAUCUCAUAGUCAAAGGAACAUGUAUAAGUCAUGGAGAAAGCAAUAGCAAUAAAAUUUAAUGAUCAUAAUGCUAAGCUAACGGAUGGGUCUUGUCCGUCACAUCAUUCUCUAAUGAUGUGAUCUCGUUCAUCAAAUAACAACACAUGUCUAUGGUCAGGAAACUUAACCAUGUUUGAUGAAUGAGCUAGUCAAGUAGAGGCAUACUAGGGACACUCAGUUUUGUCUAUGUAUUCACACAUGUACUAAGUUUCCGGUUAAUACACUUCUAGCAUGAAUAAUAAACAUUUAUAAUGAUAUAAGGAAAUAUAAAUAACAACUUUAUUAUUGCCUCUAGGGCAUAUUUCCUUCAGUCGCCCACUCGCACUAGAGUUAAUAAUCUAGAUUCCAAAGUAAUGAUUCUAACACCCAUGGAGUCUUGGUGCUGAUCAUGUUUUGCUCGUGGAAGAGGCUUAGUCAAUGGAUCUGCAACAUUCAGAUCCGUACGUAUUUUGCAAAUCUCUAUGUCUCCCUCCUUGACUUGAUCGCGGAUGGAAUUGAAGCAUCUCUUUAUGUGUUUGGUUCUCUUGUGAAAUCUGGAUUCCUUCGUCAAGGCAAUUUCUCCAGUAUUGUCACAAAAGAUUUUCAUUGGACCCAAUGCAAUAGGUAUUACACCUAGACUACUUCAUUUGCUGCUUCCGAAGCAGCUAUGUACUCCGCUUCACACGUAGAUCCUGCCAUGACGCUCAGCUUGGAACUGCACCAACUAAAAGCUCUACCAUUCAAUAUAAUACGUAUCUGGUUUGUGACUUAGAGUCAUCCGGAUCAGUGCUAAAGCUUGCAUCGACACAACCAUUUAUGACAAGCUCUUUGUCACCUCCAUAAACGAGAAACAUAUCCUUAGUCCUUUUCGGGUAUUUCAGGACCGCGGUCCAGUGAUCCACUCCUGGAUUACUUUGGUACCUCCCUGCUAAACUUAUAGGAAGGCACACAUCAGGUCUAGAAUAUAGCAUUGCAUACAUGAUAGAACCUAUGGCUGAGGCAUAGGGAAUGACUUUCAUUUUCUCUCUAUCUUCUGCACUGGUUGGGCAUUGAGUCUGAUUCAACUUCAACCUUGUAACACAGGCAAGAACCCUUUCUUUGACUGAUUCAUUUUUAACUUCUUCAAAACUUUAUCAAGGUAUGUGUUUUGUGAAAGUCCAAUUAAGCGUCUUGAUCUAUCUCUAUAGAUCUUGUUGCCCAAUAAAUAAGCAGCUUCACCAAGGUCUUUCAUGAAAAAUUCUUAUUCAAGUAUCCUUUUAUGCUAUCUAGAAAUUAUAUAUUAUUUCCAAUCAACAAUAUGUCAUCCACAUAUAAUAUUAUAAAUGCUACAGAGCUCCCACUCACUUUCUUUUAAAUACAGGCUUCUCCAAAAGUCUGUAUAAAACCAUAUGCUUUGAUCACACUAUCAAAGCGUAUAUUCCAACUCCGAGAGGCUUGCAACAUUCCAUAAAUGGAUCGCUGGAGCUUGCAUACUUUAUUAGCACCUUUAGGAUCGACAAAACCUUCUAGUUGCAUCAUAUACAACUCUUCUUUAUGAAUCCAUUAAGGAAUGCAGUUUUGACAUCCAUUUCCCAAAUUUCAUAAUCAUAAAAUGCGGCAAUUGCUAACAUGAUUCAGAAAAACUUAAGCAUCGCUACGGGUGAGAAGGUCUCAUCGUAGUCAACUCCUUGAACUUGUCUAAAACCUUUCGCAACAAGUCGAGCUUUGUAGAUAGUAACAUUACCGUCAACGUCAGUCUUCUUCUUGAAGAUCCAUUUAUUCUCUAUGGCUAGCCGAUCAUCGGGCAAGUCAACCAAAGUCCAUACUUUGUUCUCAUACAUGACCACUCUAAGAUUUCAUGGCCUCAAGCCAUUUGGUGGAAUCUGGGCUCAUCAUCGCUUCCUCAUAGUUCAUAGGUUCGUCAUGGUCUAGUAACAUGACUUCCAGAACAGGAUUACCUUACCACUCUGGUGCGGACCGUACUCUGGUUGACCUAUGAGGUUCGGUAGUAACUUGAUCUGAAGUUUCAUGAUCAUCAUCAUUAACUUCCUAAUAAUUGGUGUAGGCAUCACUAGAACUGAUUUCUAUGAUGAACCAUUUUCCAAUUCGAGAGAAGGUACAACUACCUCAUCAAGUUCUACUUUCCUCCCACUCACUUCUUUCGAGAGAAACUCCUUCUCUAGAAAGGAUCAAUUCUUAGCAACGAAUAUCUUGCCUUCGGAUCUGUGAUAGAAGGUGUAUCCAAUAGUUUCCUUUGGGUAUCCUAUGAAGACACAUUUCUCCGAUUUGGGUUCGAGCUUAUCAGGUUGAAGCUUUUUCACAUAAGCAUCGCAGCCCCAAACUUUAAGAAAUGACAACUUAGGUUUCUUGCCAAACCACAGUUCAUAUGGUGUCAUCUCAAUGGAUUUAGAUGGUGCCCUAUUUAACGUGAAUGCAACCGUCUCUAAAGCAUAACCCCAAACGAUAGCGGUAAAUCGGUCAUAGACAUCAUAGAUCGCACCAUAUCUAAUAAAGUACGGUUACGACAUUCAGACACACCAUUACGCUGUGGUGUUCCACGUGGCGUGAGUUGCGAAACUAUUCCACAUUGUUUCAAAUGAAGACGAAACUCAUAACUCAAAUAUUCACAUCCACGAUCAGAUCGUAGAAACUUUAUUUUCUUGUUACGAUGAUUUUCCACUUCACUCUAAAAUUCUUUGAACUUUUCAAAUGUUUUAGACUUAUGUUUCAUCAAGUAGAUAUACCCAUAUCUGCUCAAAUCAUCUGUGAAGGUCAAAAAAUAACGAUACCCACCGCGAGUCUCAACACUCGUCGGACCGCAUACAUCAGUAUGUAUUAUUUCCAAUAAGUUUGUUGCUCGCUCCAUUGUUCCGGAGAACGGAGUCUUAGUCAUCUUGCCCAUGAGGCAUGGUUCGCAAGCAUCAAAUGAUUCAUAACCAAGUGAUUCCAAAAGUCCAUCAACAUGGAGUUUCUUCAUGUGUUUUACACCAAUGUGAGCUAAACGCCAGUGCCAUAGAUAAGUUGCACUAUCAUUAUUAACUUUGUAUCCUUUGGCUUCAAUAUUAUGAAUAUGUGUAUCACUACUAUCGAGAUUCAACAAAAAAUAGACCACUCAUCAAGGGUGCAUGACCAUAAAAGAUAUUACUCAUAUAAAUAGAACAACCAUUAUUCUCUGAUUUAAAUGAAUAACCGUCUCGCAUCAAAUAAGAUCCAGAUAUAAUGUUCAUGCUCAACGCUGGCACCAAAGAAAAAUUAUUGAGGUCUAAAACUAAUCCCAAAGGUAGAUGUAGAGGUAGCGUGCCGACGGUGAUCACAACGACUUUGGAACCAUUUCCCACGCGCAUCGUCACCUCAUCCUUAGCCAAUCUUCGUUUAAUUCGUAGCCCCUGUUUCGAGUUGCAAAUAUGAGCAACAGAACCACUAUCAAAUACCCAGGCGCUACUACGAGCAUUAGUAAGGUACACAUCAAUAACAUGUAUAUCAAAUAUACCUUUCACUUUGCCAUCCUUCUUAUCCGCCAAAUACUUGGGGCAGUUCCGCUUCCAGUGACCAGUCCCUUUGCAGUAGAAGCACUCAAUUUCAGGCUUAGGUCCAGACUUGGGCUUCUUCCCGGGAGCAGCAACUUGCUUCCCGUUCUUCUUGAAGUUCCCCUUCUUCCCUUUGCCCUUUUUCUUGAAACUACUGGUCUUGUUAACCAUCAAUACUUGAUGCUCCUUCUUGAUUUCUACCUCUGCAGCCUUUAGCAUUGCGAAGAGCUCGGGAAUUGUCUUUUCCAUCCCUUGCAUAUUAUAGUUCAUCACAAAGCCUUUAUAGCUUGGUGGCAGUGAUUGAAGAACUCUGUCAAUCAGGAAGAUUAACUAUCAACAAGAUUAACUCCCAACUGAGUCAAGUGGUUAUGGUACCCAGACAUUCUGAGUAUGUGUUCACUGACAGAACUGUUCUCCUCCAUCUUGCAGCUAUAGAACUUGUUGGAGAUUUCAUAUCUCCCAACUCGGGCAUUUGCUUGAAAUAUUAACUUCAACUCUUGGAACAUCUCAUAUGCUCCAUGACGUUCAAAACGUCCUUGAAGUCCCAAUUCUAAGCCGUAAAGCAUGGCACACUGAACUAUCGAGUAGUCAUCAGCUUUAGUCUGCCAGACGUUCAUAACGUCCGGAGUUUCCUUUGCAGCGGGCCUUGCACCUAGCGGUGCUUUCAGGACGUAAUUCUUUUGUGCAACAAUGAGGAUAAUCCUCAAGUUACGAACCCAGUCCGUGUAGUUGCUACCAUCAUCUUUCAACUUAGCUUUCUCUAGGAAUGCAUUAAAAUUCAAGGGAACGGUAGCACGGGCCAUUGAUCUACAACAACAUAGAUAUGCAAAAACUAUCAGGUACUAAGUUCAUGAUAAAUUAAAGUUCAAUUAAUCAUAUUACUUAAGAAAUCCCACUUAGAUAGACAUCCCUCUAGUCAUCUAAAUGAUCAUGUGAUCCAGAUCAACUAAACUAUGUCCGAUCAUCACGUGAGAUGGGGUAGUUUUCAAUGGUGAACAUCUCUAUGUUGACCAUAUCUACUAUAUGAUUCACGUUCGACCUUUCGGUCUCAGUGUUCCGAGGCCAUAUUUGCAUUUUCUAGGCUUGUCAAGUUUAACCCAAGUAUUCUGCACGUGCAAAACUGGCUUGCACCCGUUGUAUGUGAACGUAGAGCUUAUCACACUCGAUCAUCACGUGGUGUCUCAGCACGACGAACUAUAGCAACAAUGCAUACUCAGGGAGAACACUUAUACCUUGAAAUUUAGUGAGGGAUCAUCUUAUAAUGCUACCGUCGUACUAAGCAAAAUAAGAUGCAUAAAAGAUAAACAUCACAUGCAAUCAAAAUAUGUGACAUGAUAUGGCCAUCAUCAUCUUGUGCCUUUGGUCUCCAUCCCCAAAGCAUCGUCAUGAUCUCCAUCAUCAUCGGCUUGACACCUUGAUCUCCAUCAUAGCAUCGUUGUCGUCUCGCCAACUAUUGCUUCUAUGACUAUCGCGACCGCUUAGUGAUAAAGUAAAGCAAUUACAUGGCGAUUGCAUUUCAUAUAAUAAAGCGACAACCAUCAGGCUCCUGCCAGUUGCCGAUAACUUCUACAAAACAUGAUCAUCUCAUACAAUAAAUUAUAUCACAUCAUGUCUUGACCAUAUCACAUCACAACAUGCCCUGCAAAAACAAGUUAGACAUCCUCUACUUUGUUGUUGCAAGUUUUACGUGGCUGCUACGGGCUUCUAGCAAGAACCGUUCUUGCCUACACAUCAAAACCACAACGAUUUUUCAUCACGUGUGUUGUUUUAACCUUCAACAAGGACCGGCCGUAGUCAAACUCAAUUCAACUAAAGUUGGAGAAACAGACACCCGCCAGCCACCUGUGUGCGAAGCACGUCGGUAGAACCGGUCUCAUGAACGUGGUCAUGUAAUGUUGGUCUGGGCUGCUUCAUCCAAAAAUAACGCCGAAUCAAAGUAAGACGUUGGUGGUAAGCAGUAUGACUAUUAUCACCCACAACUCUUUGUGUUCUACUCGUGCAUAUCAUCUACGCAUAGACCUGGCUCGGAUGCCACUGUUGGGGAACGUACCAUGCAAUUUCAAAAAAAUUCCUACGCGGUUGAUGCAUAGAAACGAGAGGGGAGAGUGUGUCCAUGUACACUCGUAGACCGAAAGCAGAAGCGUUAGGUUAACGCGGUUGAUGUAGUCGAACGUCUUCACGAUCCAAGUACCGAACGUACGGCACCUCCGUGUUCAGCACACGUUCAGCUCGAUGACGUCCCACAAACUCUUGAUCCAGCAGAGGGUCGAGGGAUUGUUCCAUCAGCACAACGGCAUGGUGACGGUGUUGAUGAUGUGAUCCGCGUAGGGCUUCGCCUAAGCACUACGACGCUAUGACAGGAGGAGGAAACUGUGGAGGGGGGCACGGCACAAAGCUGAGAACAAUUGAUGUGCUAUGGGGUGCCCCCUGCCCCCGUAUAUAAAGGAGGGGAGGAGGAGGCCGGCCCCUUAGGGGCACGCCAAGUGUGGGGAGUCCUACUAGGACUCCAAAGUCCUAGUAGGAUUCCCCUUUCCUUUUCGGAGUAGGAAAGAGGGAAAGGGAGAGGGAGUAGGAAAGGGCAAGGGGGGCGCCGCCCCCUCCCCUAGUCCAAUUAGGAAUCCAUGGGGGCGCGCGCCACCUCCGUUGCCCUGCCUCCUCUUCUCCCCUAUGGCCCAAUAAGGCCCAUUACUUCCCAGGGGGGUUCCGGUAACCCCUCGAUACUCCGAAAAAUAUCUGAAUCACUCCGGAACCAUUCCGGUGUCCGAAUAUAACCUUCCAAUAUAUCAAUCUUUACCUCUCGACCAUUUCGAGACUCCUCGUCAUGUCCGUGAUCUCAUCCGGGACUCCGAACAAACUUCGGUCACCAAAACACAUAACUCAUAAUACAAAUCGUCAUCAAACGUUAAGCGUGCGGACCCUACGGGUUCGAGAACUAUGUAGACAUGACCGAGACACGUCUCCGGUCAAUAACCAAUAGCGGAACCUGGAUGCUCAUAUUGGUUCCUACAUAUUCUACGAAGAUCUUUAUCGGUCAAACCGCAUAACAACAUACGUCAUUCCCUUUGUCAUCGGUAUGUUACUUGCCCGAGAUUCGAUCGUCGGUAUCAGCAUACCUAGUUCAAUUUUGUUACUAGCAAGUCUCUUUACUCGUUCCGUAAUGCAUCAUCCCAUAACUAACUCAUUAGUCACAUUGCUUGCAAGGCUUAUAGUGAUGUGCAUUACCGAGAGGGCCCAGAGAUACCUCUCCGAUACUUGGAGUGACAAAUCCUAAUCUCGAUCUAUGCCAACCCAACAAACACCUUAGGAAACACCUGUAGAGCAUCUUUAUAAUCACCCAGUUACGUUGUGAUGUUUGAUAGCACACAAGGUGUUCCUCCGGUAUUCGGGAGUUGCAUAAUCUCAUAUUCAAAGGAAUAUGUAUGUCAUGGAGAAAGCAAUAGAAAUAAAGCUUAACGAUCAUAAUGCUAAGCUAACGGAUGGGUCUUGUCCAUCACAUCAUUCUCUAAUGAUGUGAUCCCGUUCAUCAAAUGACAACACAUGUCUAUGGUAUGGAAACUUAACCAUCUUUGAUGAAUGAGCUAGUCAAGUAGAGGCAUACUAGGGACACUCAGUUUUGUCUAUGUAUUCACACAUGUACUAAGUUUCCGGAUAAUACGAUUCUAGCAUGAAUAAUAAACAUUUAUCAUGAUAUAAGGAAAUAUAAAUAACAACUUUAUUAUUGCCUCUAGGGCAUAUUUCCUUCAAUAGGCCCACAAUUCAUCGGAUCCCGACGAACACACCGCGAAAUAAGAUUACGUCGAAUAGAUCUCCAACAACAUCGAGGAGAACAUUGUAUUGAAGAUCGGAGAGAGAGAAGAAGUCAUCUAACUACUAGCUAUGGGCUCGUAGGUCUGUGGUCAACUACUCACACAUCAUCGGAAUGGCAGCAAGGUUGAUGUAGAAGCCCUCCGUGAUCGAAUCCCCCUCCGGCAGAGAACUGGAAAAGGCCUUCAGAUGGGAUCUUGUUGGAAUAAAAACUUGUGGUGGCGAAAAAAGUGUAUUGUGUGGCUCUCUGGUAUACGAGGAAUAUUUGAGAAUUUAUAGAAGUGGAAUUAGGGUUGGAGGUGCCAUAGUGGGGCCCACAAGCCUAGGGGCGCCACCCCUGGGGCGCCACCCCUGGGGCGCGCCUCCCGAGCUUGUCGCCACCUCGUGGCUCCCCUGGACUUAUCCUAAAGGUUCUAGGGUCUUUUAUGGUCCAGAAAAAAUCUUCAAAAAGUUUCAUGACAUUUGGACUCGGUUUGGUAUUGAUUUUCUGAAAAGCCAAAAGCAAGCAAAAAAAAGGCAACUGGCAUUUGGCACUAGCUUAAUAGGUUAGUCCCAAAAAUGAUAUAAAAUAGCAUAUUAGUGCAUAUAAAACAUCCAAGAUUGAUCAUAUAAUAGCAUGGAAUAAUCAAAAAUUAUAGAUACGUUGGAGACGUAUCACUUGCUGAUUUACAAUUUCCGGCGCUGCAACCCUAGCAGUGCAAUAAAUGUCUCAAAUAUAUCAAGAUGGUCCGAAAAAUGCAGGGGCCUGACACGUGUCUUCGGCUGAGGAGGUCUAGAAGUUUGGAGGCGAAUCGAGCAAUAGGAUCCGCACUUCCUUCACAAACCGGAUACGUUCCCUCACAAUACCGAGAGACUAGCUCAGAGAUGGUGCGGUUUACAAGCGGCCUCAGGGGUUGUGGCGGGCUAUAGGCUAGCAACUAGUAGUUGCUGCACGACGCGAUGUACUAGACCAGUGCCAUGAUGCGGGCUGCGUCGUUGAGACCUGCGAGAGCUCAUCGUGGCUGCUGCUGAAAAUUAGCUCUUAUACAGACGAAAUAAUAUAUUUAAUUAAAUUAAUAAAAAGCGCCGGCAUCCAUCAUUAGGAAUAUGGACUGUCACUAUCGACCUUCUCCGUCCAGAACAAGUGAAGAUUCAUAGUAAGAGUCUAUAUCCUUAACAAGAGUCUAAUGAAGACCGAACAUUGCUUGUUCUGGACUAUCCAACUAUUUAAACCGGUCCUGAUGGUUGUGGUUAAGUGAGGUGGGACUAAACUUAGCUCCCACAUAGAUGAAAAAGAGAAAAUUAAUAAGGCAAGUAAACAAGGCUUUGCCGAGGGCUAAUUCAUGAGCGAUUGGCAAAGCGGCGCCACCGUCAAAGCGACGUCAACCACUGUCGGACUUGCCAUGUGGCUACCCUUUCCCGUGUGGUCUCGGUUGGCUCUCGGCAAAUAUAUCGUUUGCCGAGUGUGCUUUUUCACUUUGUAUCACCAAACGAUAGGGUUUACCAUGCGGCAGUUGUUGCUGAGUAUACCUCUCGGCUUACUUUUCUUUGCCGAGAGCCCGUGAUUUGGCACUCGGCGAAGAUCCUGGCACUCGGCGUAUGAGGAAAUUCCAGUAGUGAGUACAUUAGCUGACCAUAACUCCAUAAGUAGCACAAUUACAAGGUGAGACUAAACUUGACUCUCAAAAGAAACGAAAAAAAAAUCAAACUCCCAACAGAUUUGGAAACAGCAGGGAAAACCUUCUGCGGGGCAAAACCAUUUCUAUUACCAAAUCUAAAGCUACACGGAUCUAACUCCGCUGCAGUGGGAUUGCACUUGGGAGUCCAACCCACAUGAAAGUAACUUAUUAUGGAGUACAAACAAUAGAAUAAGUCGUUCUUAGUUUGAAUUCUGCUGUAUUAUUAAACACGUAAAGAAAUUUAGUUUGAAUUAUGUUUUAUUAUUUAUACCAUGAAAAAACUUUUAUUAGAACUCUGUUGCAUUAUUGAACACAUGUGAUACAUGCAUUGUUUUACAUAUAGAAGUAGAAAUAAGUGCAAGAUCGAUUGGAGAAGUGGAAGAACCUACAAACUGAUCUUGGUAGUAGUAAGAGAUGCUACAAGUUCAUGUUUAGAUCUGAUGUUCUAUGAUGCAAGAGCCAAAUUGUUCUAUCUAUAUCAUGUUUCGACGUGAUGUGAAAUGAAUUGUUCUAUGAAUUAAGUUUUGUUGACAAACUUUGAAAAGCCAAAUUAAUAUGUGGUUGUGUCUAAAAUUUAAUAUGAACCACCUAGAACUAGAUUUGGAAAAUCCAAAUUUGUCGUAGUGUCUAAAAUUUAAAAUGCAUUAUAUUUUAAAUUUUAGUGGUGUAGAUAGAGCUAAGGAUCACAAGCAGGUUUCAUUCAAAAUUUCAGUUAAACAUAACAAGCAAGUUUCAUUCAAAUCUUAGGAUUUGGACAAUGUGAACGAAACUAAUUCAAAAACAUAAACCCUAACUAACUACUCUCCCCAUCGCUCCCGCUCCCGCAGAGGUUAAUGACUCUGCCGUCACCAUCUUCUGCGUCGUCGUCCACAUUGUCGUCGUUGUCGUUAUCGUCGGUGCCGUGGAAAUAGCUGAAGAAUUCUUUCGCGUUCACGGUCGAAUUCGCCAGUGUCUCCACCAAGUACCUCAACGCUCAUCAGCCAGGUCUUCGGCCGAGUGCUUUGGUGAUCGUCAGUCAUGUGGCCUGAUAUCCGACUGAUAGGACUCAGUGUUGUCUCAUGCCACCUUCCUUAUUCCUGGUGGGUUGUCAAUAGAGCCCCUUGGCCCAUUACCUUAUGGGCCAUAUUUUAUAUGAGUCUAGGGCCUCCAGUGGGCCAAUCGUAUACUUGGGCCUACCCCGUAUUUGUAACCCCGACACUUUGUCGAAGAGCACGCUGUUUCCUGGCAUCCUUGAAAUAGUUCAAAAAAAUUCCCAUGGCUUUGUAUGACAAAUUCAAGGCACCAUGUCAAGUUGUUUUGGUUUUCGACAAAUUAUGCAUUUUCUGAAGUUUUCUCGGACAAACACGACGAAUAAAUGGUCAGACGUGCCGCAACUUGCAUACCAUGUCGGAAAUCAUUCAAACCUGGCAUGGGUUCCUUGUAUGUCCAUGUCAGACAGCUGCAAGAAGUUGGGGUCAUUUAUCCAUAGUUCCAAAAAACAUCAGUUGAGAGGAGUGUGCUAGAUUAGGGCAGGCGGGUGCAUCCGCGGGCAUGUAGUUUUUUUUCUCUGUUAUUGGCAAUUUCCGUCAUUUAUCAAUCAACAUUCAUCAACAAUUUUGGAAUUUCAAAUUGUGUACGAACACUUCUUCUAAAAUUGUGAACAAAUUCUCAACAAUUGACGAUGUACACAAAUUGCAAAACAAACUUUAAAAAAAAUUAUCAACUUUUUUGAAACACAAAUAUUUCUUAAAUUUGUGAAUAAGAACUGGAAACAUUUCCUAAAAUUCUAGAACAUUUUAUAAUCGUAAACAAUACUUGAAAAAAAUAACAUUUUUUAAUAUUCCAGAAAUAUUUCAAAAUUUUAAAAAGGUUUCAAAAAAUAAUAAAGUUCAAAAAGGAAAAAAAUAAUUAACAAAAAAGGAAAGGAAAACGUAAAAAUAGACUUGAAAAAAAUACGCUUAGGCCUUGGUUCAACUAGGCGACGACAUCGCUACCAUUGGGUGCCUAUUGGCUGACCAAAGUUCCUGGUUUGAAAAAAGUUUACUAAUUUUGAAAGUAAAUAUUCAUGAAUUUGAAAAAUAUUCGCUUACUUCGACAAAAGUUCAUAAAAGUUGAAAAGAGUUCAUGGAUUUGGAAAAGAGUUUACAGAUUUGAAAAAAAAAUUCAUGAAUUUAAGAAAAUAUUAACCAAUUUGAAACACUGAUUUAAGAAAAGGUCCAUGAAUUUUAAAAAGAAAAAAAAGAAAAAAAGAGAAAAAUUAGAAACAGAAGGAAAACAGGACAAACAAAUACUGAAAAAAGUAAAACCACAUUUUUAAAAAGAUGUUCGGAAAUUGUUCAUGUCUUGAAAUUUUGUUCAAAUUUCAAAAAAUGGAUGCUCAAAUUUUGUUCAUCAAUAUAAAGACUAUUCGAGAUUCCAAAAUUGUUCAUUUCUUUUUCAAUAAAAGUUUCGAUUUUUUGAAGGAAAUAGUUCAUAUAUAUGAAAUUUGUUGAGUUUUCUUAUAUAUUCACUCUAUAAAAUAACACAAGCGCCGGUGGGGUGAAGUUGCUAGCAGCGCGUACUUUUUCUUUUCUCGGUAUUUUUACGCUGCUUAUAUUGAACGUGGUAGGAGGGGCAUGGCUUAAUGGGAAGCACAGUCAGGAGGUCUCAGGACGUAGUUUUGAAAAAGACCAUCUUGCCCUUUGAUUAUGAAGAGGUAUCGGGUAAUCUCAGUCGUCGAAGUNNNNNNNNNNNNNNNNNNNNNNNNNNNNNNNNNNNNNNNNNNNNNNNNNNNNNNNNNNNNNNNNNNNNNNNNNNNNNNNNNNNNNNNNNNNNNNNNNNNNNNNNNNNNNNNNNNNNNNNNNNNNNNNNNNNNNNNNNNNNNNNNNNNNNNNNNNNNNNNNNNNNNNNNNNNNNNNNNNNNNNNNNNNNNNNNNNNNNNNNNNNNNNNNNNNNNNNNNNNNNNNNNNNNNNNNNNNNNNNNNNNNNNNNNNNNNNNNNNNNNNNNNNNNNNNNNNNNNNNNNNNNNNNNNNNNNNNNNNNNNNNNNNNNNNNNNNNNNNNNNNNNNNNNNNNNNNNNNNNNNNNNNNNNCGCUGUUGCAAUCUCACAAAGUUUCCAUUCCUAUCAGGUACUUUUGUACUCUUGCGUGGACACACAACUGAGGCUGUCAUUUUAGCUGAGUUAUUGUUUCAGUCAGCUUUGCUAAUCUUCUACAUAUCCCAUAUCUAACAUUUCUAGAUAUUGCAUGUCACUGGUUUGCGUAACAAGCUCUGUUAUGCGCGUAUUUAGAAUCAUAAAUAUGUUCAAGUACAUCAGCUGACCAUAACUCCAUAUAUAAGUAGCCCAAUUACAAGGUGAGACUAAACCGGACUCUCAAAAGAAACGAAAAACAAUAAAACUCCUAACAGAUUUGGAAACAGCAGGGAAAACCUUCUGCGGGGCGAAACCAUUUCCGUUACCAAAUCUGAAGCUGCACGGAUCUAAUUAUGCUGCGGCGGGAUUAGACUUGGGAGUCCAAUCCAUAUGGCAGUAACUUAUUAUGGAGUACAAACAACGGAGCAUGGCGCCUAAACAUGAUUUGAAAAGGGAAAUGAUAUGGGAACAAACCUACGUCGGGCCUAGUAGUAGAAGGUCACAUCCCUCCAGGUCGCCCGUGAUGUAGAGCUUGGCGCCCUGCCGGAUUAGAAACUCAAGAAGCCGUGCCUUGUUGUCCGCGUGGCUCUUCCCGCCUGUUAGACGGCCCCUCCAGUUAAGCCCCACAUCAUCGACCGCCGUCUUCACUGGAGCCGACCAAUAUUUGUUACCAAACUUCUCCGUAAAUGGUUUCUUGAGGUUGAUCCACUGGUAGAAGUAGUGAGGAAUGUGGACCUUCUUGAACAAGCACUCCUGUCUCAGCAUGGUACGGCAGUCCCAGGUGCCCCACGUCACGACAGUGAAGCUAAGGUGACCUCCAUUUUUUGUCUCUACCUCCUUCAGCCAUGCUUGGUGCAUCUGCAGCGCCUCCGACAGCAUCACCCCGGCCUCUACUUCUGUCUGCAGAAUGCCGUUGUAUUUCUUGCAAAACUCGCUCAGUUCGGGGUGUAUUAUCGGGCAGACGUAAGUGUGGAAGGCGGACACUGAUUGGCCGGUAACGGCGUCGACGAGGAUGGAUGAGAACUCGAUGAUCUCCUGCCGGUUGCUAUUUACGCCCGCCUGGCAGGUCGCCGCGCAUGUCGCCUCGCAGGUCGCCUUGAAGUCGACAACCACAAAGUGGCUGGACGACUCGGUGACGUCCUUGUUAUUGUGUCCACCCAGAGCAUAGCUUUUCUGCUUAACUGAUGGCCUGGAAAUGACAAACCCUGCAAAAUUAGUUUUAAAAGUACAGCACUGCAUCAGGUUUUCAUAAAAGUGUUGAGUUAGGGGAAGACGCACUCAGCCUCAAGGAGAACAAUUUCCUUUGGUGGAGCUUUAUGUAUGGCUUGACAACUUGUCCGCAUCAUCAUCCUCGCAAAAGGAUUAUUGAUAGUGAGACGUCCCAUCAUGUCCUCAAGAGAAUGGACCGGUACAGUUCCGGUAUACUUCAAACGUGGUUGCCUGAACGGGGACGCAGAACUAGGAAAAGCCAAUAGAACUCCUGGUGACCCAUCUACAAAAGGAAUUCCACCAAAUAGUCACACUUAGGCUUGGGUACCUGCAGCUCAUGACUCAAGGACAACUAGUGGUUGAAUAACAAUUAGUGCUCCUCCAGAACCAAUGGAACGUAGUAGUUGGUAAAGAACUUCUGUAUUUUUCAAACGCAUGUUUCUUUUGGUAUCUGUGAAAGUGUAACCAAUACACUGACAGGUGUAUUAUAGAGCACAACAGUUGACCUGGUUAGCCUAUUAUUUCAUUCAUAUUUCUUCCCUUGCAUUCCUUGACCACGUUCUAGUGGAGUUGGAUUAGGAAAAAAUGCACUCAUGUUGGUGAAUUAAAAUUAACUUGGUACUCAAUGAAAGUAGUGUCGUAAAUAAAACAAAAGGGGCUUCCAGAGAAUUUAAAAUCAGGAGCUGACUAAAACAAUGAGAGAUAUUCCGCAAAAUUAGAAGAUUAACACAGGCAAGUGCUAUCAUGAUGCUUAUUAAUCUGAAGACAAAUGACAUUACCAUCUAAUUCGAACUUACAUGUAACUGGGUAUAGCUGUACCACGGCAGCGGAUGCAUUGUGACCUUCAAUGGGGAAAGAAGAGCCGUGCUGGAUAUGACAAGGGAAAUAUAUUAACAGAGAAUUUAUGGUCUCCGACAAGGCAAACUUAAAUAAAAGAAUAUAUGUUCUAUUAUCUCGGACAAGGAUUUGGAGCACUCAGGUGCUCCGCACCCCUAUACGAACAAUUCAUUUAAAAAAUUACUGAGAAAUUAAAAAAAAAGGGAUUUUGGGAUAUCGAACGUGGGUUUCCAAUCUACUCCCAUGUGAAAUUUCGUGAAAAAAUACCAGGAAACGUAUUCACGGCAAAAAAGACAAAAAAUUCCUAUGUAUAGUAAAAACUGUUUGGGUAGAUUUUUGUUCGGACAAUAUUUCCUUCGCUACGGAUACAUUUUUGGAAAUUGUUUCACGAAAUUUCACACGGGAGUAGAUUGGGAACCCAGGUUUGAUAUCCCCAAAUUUCAGAUUUUUCUGAUUUUUUUUGGUAUUUUUUACGAUUUUUUUCGUAUAGGGGUGUGGAGCACGCAGGAGCUCCUGUGUAUUUUCCCUAUUAUCUCUCGUUAUCUUAACAUCAUGGCUAUUGUGCAUAAUGGUUCCUUGACCAGCUUAUAAUCUUCAUAAUAUCCACAAGAAUUAGACUGGCAAGAGACAUCAAUACCAGUAUAAGCGUUUCUUGCCUAAUUUAACAACUUCAUAAUAUUUUUCAUAAAUUACCUAAUUUAACAAUUUUUCAUCUGUAUUACCCCAUUUAACGAUAGGUUUUUUUAUAUUCUUUUUACCCUUUUAAAAGUAUUUUAGGUUGCAGAAAGCUCCUCUAGUGUGGUUCUUUCGCUGGACAAAGUGUCGAUGGAGUUAUGUCUACUGCAAUGCAGCCGGGAAGCAUAUGCGGUGUAUCAGAAUGAGGUGGAAGCAACAAUGAAUUGUGUGACAUGAAGAAGGAACUUAUCAAGGCAAAGCGGUGCGUAUGUACAACUGGCAGCCGUGAGAAACAAAACUGUGUAUGGCUAAGCCAUUAAUUCGGCCUGUUCAUGUGCAUGUGGAAAAUUACAACGUGGCACACCACGUAUACCUGACGACCGAGACCCACCUUAUAGAUUGCUAAAUGGGGCAACGACCGAUAAACAUUUUGCUAAAGAGUGUGAAAAGUGGUACUCCCUCUAAUCAAAAUUAAUUGACGCAACUCUAGUAUAAAAUUGUACUAAAAUUGCGUCAAGUAAUUUGGAUCGGAGGAAGUAAUACUUUUGAUAAAUAAUGUAAUACGGAUGAAAAACUAUUAAAUUUGGUAAUUUGCAUCAAGAAUGUCAAAGUAGGGGGUAGAAACUGGAAUUCACUCACCAAAUAAUCAACCCAUUCCGACAAAAUUCUAUAUCACCAUAACAUAAUGUGUAGAGUUUGCUAACUAUUGAAACUGUCAGGUACUUAUUAGGCACAAGUGCUGAAGUUAUGUUUGGGUCGGGUAAACAUGGUAAUUAAGGAGAAAAAGUGCCUCCUAGAUAGCCACUUUUCCUUCCUUUUUUUUUUGCGUAACCAAGCAAGCCAGUAGAUAAUUUGCCUAGAGUACACCAUUGACAUUGUCUUCAUAGAAUACUGAGUGAUUUUGGCCAAAUUGAAUUGUUAAGAUUCUCAAAUCGUCAUUAGCAGCCAAUAAACUCUAGAUUUCUGAAAUAUGGCUUUUGGAAUAGAGCGGACAAAAAUCUUCGACCCUACUGCACAGAUAAUUAACUGGCUACUUUGUGUUUUUGUGAAAUACUACUUACAUGGUAUGACUGGUCCAGAAGCCUCUGAUUAUGGUAGUGUGGCUGUCCCUGAUAGGUUGGAGAUAUACCGGCUGUCCGUUGUGCUGCAAUUGAACAGGCAAUCUUAUUAUCUGCAUCAUUUCGUUUGGUAGGAGUAGUGAGAUUCGGAAGCUAACAGUUUGGAGAUUCCGGUGCAAGCAUCAAACGUGGCCAAUGUGGAUCGCCCAGUUGCUCGCUCGUCGGAAUGUUUUCUGAGCUGCCACCUCCUAGAUGUGAGAACAAAAAUAAGUAUCAAUUGCACGCAAACGUGUGCAAGCAUGAUAAACGAAAUGACAGGACUUCAUCAUGUCCUAGAAUCGGAGUGACCAGCUGUGCUGAGUUUAGCAUAGUAUCUUGGCCUGAAGUGAGCAUGUAAUAGUUUAUUAAAUUAUAUGUAGUUUUUUUUAACAAACGUUACAAUGUUCUUGUACCUUUGGCACAGCUGGGUAUGUUCAAUUUUCUAUACUUUUUCCUUACUUAAUAUGUAUGUGGCAGUUAGUUUUUGUAUCUCUUAGUCAAACUCGUCUACAAGCUUAUUAGAUCCGUAAUUGAACCACUAACACGUAAAGAACGGCAAACAGUUUGGGAAGGAAUAAAGCUACAUGGCAAAUUCGGAGCAGUUUAGCCUCUUCUAAUUCGUUUUCUUUCAAUGCUUCCGGCAACAAACUAUCCUUCCCGUCCCUUUGUGUUGUACACCCUCCGUUACUUUUUACUCUGCAUAUAAUUAUUUUUCUAAAGUAAAGUUUGAUCCUAUUUAUAUAAAAAAUACAGACAUCUACAAUAUUAAAGUUAUUCAAUAUGAAAAUUAAAUGUAUAAUGCAUCUCAUGAUUUUGGUUUUGUAUUAUGAAUGUUAAUAUUUUUUUAUAAAGUUGGUGAAACUUUACUAAGUUUGACUUUAAAAAAAUGUUAUGUCCAGAGUAAAAAGGACCGGAGGAAGUAACACAGUUAGAUGAGGAGAAAAGGAGCAGAGGCAUGUGUGCAUGACUUGAAUAUAGUAAUUGAAUUAACUUGGCAAGGUCCUUUUGAAUUUUGAAAAAAAAUGCAAUGGGAUAAAUGACAAAGAAACCGGUAAUAGCUCUGCACGAAAAAUAAAUAAGAAACGUUAGUUCAACAUGUUAGACAAAUAUAUUACUGGUUACAGAUGAAUUGCAUUCAUUUUUGGGGUCAAAAUGCAGAUUUUUACAAAAGAAAUGAACCAUAUAUCAAAAAAGAAAAGAAGAUAUUUACAAAAGUAAAGGUACAACAUCCACGCAUAUGAUGUGGUUAUAUGUAAGUUGAAUAGGAACGGCAUAUAGCACUCUAACUUGAACAUACCCGUCGUCUGACCUUGUGUUUGUGAAUGUUGUGCGUCGGUACUUGGAAUCACCUGGACAUAUAAAAUAAAACAUGACUUUAUGGACAGUAUUAACGAGCACACAUAUAUCAAAAAUAUAAUUGUGAAUUUCUGAACAAAAAAAAACUGAUUUAGAUAAAUGGCAAUCUGGCCGAAUAAGCAAACUUCCCAAACUGUAGACGGAUGCAUGGUAUGUGGCCACAAAAAGAUCGUAACACACACUGGAAAAGUUUUGGAGCUAGUAAUGAUGUGGUAUAUUCUCCCUUUGUUUAUUGGAACGAUGAGCUCUCUUCAAUUCAACGCGUAGAAUAAUCACCUGCAUGGCUUCCGUCUGUGCAGUACCGAAGUGAUUUUGAUCGCCUGUACCACUUCCUGCAAGUAAACGAUAAAUCUCGUCAUAUCUGCAUCAUUCAUAUAUUUGUUGAGAACAGAGAUCAAUCACUAAUGUUUGCCUCCGUUUCCGCCAAAGCCCGGUUGCGCUGUCUCAGCGUUGGUCGGCGUGGUCAUUUCGCCAAUGAUGUCCACUAGAGCUCGUUGUAAACUUUGUAGAUCAUUGAUCAAACUUUUCACUUGUUCUGAAAAAAAAAUCCAUUAGUUGUUCAAAAUAAAAAUUAGAAUGCCACAGACAUUGGCAGUUUCCAUCAAUUAAUCUUAUGUUACUCGGCUGUAAUAAGUUCUGGAUCCUAGUUGGUAGAAAAACCAACUGUCUAUACAGUUAACAGGAUUAUAUGACCUUCCAUGGGGUCAUCAAAAAAUUAUAUAUCAAAUCAAACCGGCUAAGUGGCGAUCAAUGCCACCCUGGAUGUUUGACCACAGUAAAGGAACUGUUAUUUGUUCUAUUUUCUCCUAUUCAUAUUAAUUUUCGCUGAUUUAGUAUCGUAUUAAAUAACACAUUUAAUAUGGAUCGAAGGGAGUAUUAUUUAAACUGGACACCAACUGCUGCGGACGCCAUCAUGGAUGCUAGUUGCUUUGCUAUUUACUCCUAUUCCAUAAUAUAUUGCUUAUAGAUUUUUUUUAAGUCAAACUAUGCAAAAUUUAAUCAAUUUUAUAGAGAAAACUAUUUAUAUCUAUAAUAGUAAAUAUAUAAAAUAGGAAACUACUUUUUAUAAUUAAUCUAAUGACAUAUGCUUGGUAUUCUAGAUGUACAUGUUUUUCUUCAAAAACUUGGUCAAAAUUUAUGAGGUUUGACUUUUCAAAAAAUCUAUAUGCACUACAUUAUGAAAUGAUGGGAGUAUUUACUUUGUGCGGGUAUGUGGCACCAGGUUUGUUCUCGUUCAAAAAUGUGGGUUUGCUACCUUUUCUGAAGUCUGCCCAAUGGGGCUUUAAUCAUUAAGCCAGACACUCCAAAAUUGUAUAUUAAAAUUGAAAUUAUGAAAUAAUGGGUGGGCUUACGAUUUUUCUGCACUCCAGUUCAUCAAAAGUAAGAAGACAUUUUGUGUAUUACGAGAGACAAAAAUAAUUACUGCUCUCUCCGUCCGGAAAUACUUGUCGGAGAAAUGGAUGUAUGUAGAAAUAUUUUAGUUCUAGAUAUAUCCAUUUUUACCCAUUUGUGCGACAAGUAAUUCUGGACGGGGGCAGUAUUACAUACAAAAUUGUGUAUACUAUAGAAGAUAGCUUCUUGCCUUUAUGACGUGGAGUUUUUGUCGGAGCCGUAAUUAGUUGCCCCAUGGCUUCGCAGAUAACCUGUACGCACUGACGUAGCCCAUCGAUGUCCGCAAUUCCACUGGAUGUGAGACGAAAUCAAUUAGCAGUACACCACAAACAUGAACAAGAAAAGCUGCAGUAAUGCAAACUACCACAAUUUCCCUAAAUUUAUUGUCAUCAGAUGGAACGAGUUUUGCAUAUUAUCCGAUUGAAAGCUAGGAUUUGUGUUGCAACUGUAAUAGUAAACAAAACCUUCCUCUGACCUGUGCAUAAAAAUUCUUUAUUUAACAGUAUGGAGUUUUUUUGAGGCACAUCCAUAUGGAAUUUAAAUGAAAAGAAUAUAAGAAGAUAUGUUUAUAUACAUCAAUUGAUGCAGAGGCGACCUUCUUCUUGAUAAUUUUUUUAAGACGUCGAAACAUGGAUAGCCUACACCUUUUUGUUUCAAGUGCGUAUCAUUGUUUAUUGGAAUCACAAGCUUUCCCACGCAUACUACUAUCCGACACAACUAAACCAAGUAAUUGUAUGUACGUACUAAUUAACAAUCCUACACAAGACACUAAAUUUUGCUAUGACUAGGGAAAGAUUACCCAACAAUUAACCUAGGAAGAAAGGGAAACUAUACAGCUAUCCUAGGGGAGAGCUCUCGACAAGUAAUUUGAACUUGGCCGUUAAGGUGAAAACAGUUAACAACGUUAACAGAUAUGGCUCAAGCUGUGUCAGCUGAGUUUUGUUCCUGAGCCCUGGGAUCUCAAUCCAUCAGCCAAGAAGACACAAAAUAAAUACUGACCUAGGCAAAAAGUGAAAAUGAAUCUUAAGGCGUAUCAGGCAGAUAAGCUUGGGCAGCUGAGUUUUAAGAAAAUCUAAGAACAGUAAGCACUAAUUAGAAAUGCUGGUAUCAUAUAUUAUUCACCUGGUAGCUGCACAAAGUUGCAUUUUAAACUUGCUGACAGUUGUUGUAAUUUCUCGUGCAGUAAUUGCUUAUGUCGACCUGAACGUGGAAUGGAAAUCAAUAAUUGCACAAAAGCAGGACAAUAAAGGAAUACUUCUGGUUUCCUUCGAUGUUAGCUAUCACAUUCAUAGCUUUAGGUGUGGUUAGUGAGAAUAGUUUCUAGCCUUUACCUUCUAGUGCAAUUUCCAAAACUGAAGGUAUCUGUUCUGUGAUCUCGAUUGCCAGCACCUCUGGAUUGUUCGUGUUUGAGUCAUGCCCCGAACAUGAAAGGAACGUCAGUUAUUUGCAAAUAAGGGAAGAAAUGUAUCGGGUACACUUAUAAAUGACUAAAAUUAACAAUCCAAAUUGACACGGUAAAUAGACAAUAUUAGUGCUAGGAAGAAUUUCCAAAGUUUCUGUGGAAACUUCUAGCUCUCUCGGCUGCUAUCAUUAGGCACGACACUUCAACUUCUGCUCUGUUAAAGACUACUAGCAUUGCCCUCAAUUUUGAACUCGGAGCCAACUGAUUUUUUUUGUCCACCUCAACGGCACUAUACAAUGAUUACCUUUGGCGUCGGCAAAAAAAUCACCCAAGUGAGCACACUCGUCCUGAAUAGAACAAAAAGAAGAUAACGUAAGAAAUUUCACACUGUCUGUGUUCAGAACUAACUAAGCGACGAGUUUCUUGAAUUCAUUGGCAGUUAAUGUCAUAUGGUUCAUCCUUCAUAGAUUCCGUAAGAUAGUUGUAUUUAAUUUUUAUAUAAACACCUUAAUAUCCUUAAAGUGCCUGCAAAUAAAUAUCUAUAGGAAUAGAAAUAUCAAUAACGGAUAUGACCAGGCAAACAAGGAAAAUAUCUUCAUAGCUCCCUAGGCAUUGCUAUCUAGAUUACUGAACCGGUUGAUUCCCUGAACUUUCAAACAGGGUAUCCCUCAGCCAUUGCCGAGGACACGACGUGCCAUAGUAUCUACCUUCUAUGUUGUCAUUUGUGCCUCUGCACUGAUCUAAAAAAAAUCAAAUCUCUGCGCCAAGGUCCCAUGUGAGCAUAUGAUUCGUUAUUACUAGACGUAACGCCACAUGAUGUAGUCACGUAGGCUAAUAACUCAUUCUGCAAUCAGUAUAUCCAAAGGCCGGAGGUUUAACCUCUUCUUCCAAAGACAAGAAAACUCAUUGGAUUCCAAACUUGGAUCUUAUUGGGCCGAAAAUUCAAUCUACUCAGCUAAUGUGCCUCGGCCAGUAACAACUGAUCAUUUUCGAAUUCUGAACGGGGUGGAAGGAUGGGUGCUCUCUCGGAUCGAGUCAAUUUUAAUUUAUGUGCCUACAUGCAGACUAGAUUCUUUACAACUCAUUUUCUGAAAUUAACUGAUUAAAUCGUACUUACCUGCUGGCCCAUUGCUGUAUCCAUUCCUCUAUAGGCAUUGGCAGUACCAGCAGUUUGAUUUUGUUCCAAGCUCAUUGCUGUAGCUGAAUAGUAAAUCUUAUGCAUCAAUUCAAUGUACAAAGAACAUCAAUUGCUCACAAACUAGACAAGAGGAAGGAAGCUCCUACCUGCCGGUAGUGAUGUGUAUGCUUCAUUACCAAUUUCUAUUGCUUUCCUUUUUCUCGCUGAAAUUGAACAUGAAACAUAACUCCUCGUAGUUCAUAACAGAAUAGGGAUGACCAUAGAACUUCUAGACCCAACCCACUCUUUGUAUUCACUUUUUGCCCCAACUCACUUUUAUCUAUCUAUCUAUAUACUAGAAGCACAAUACGAUGAAAAUUUUAAAGAUUAGGCUAGAAAAUCUCACACUAAUCAGAAAACAACUGGCAUUUCAUCAGGUGAACCCCUUAGAGAUAAGUCCACAUUACAACCUCGAACUACCACCGAAGCCUAAAACACAACCCUGAACUACGAAACCGUCUAAUAUACAACCCUCAACUUUCAAAAGCAGAUGAAAAACAACCUUGGGUUAGUUUUUGACUGGUUUUGACCAGUCAACAGCCUAGUUAGCGCCAAGUCGUACGCCAUGUUACCAUCUCUUGAAUCUGAAAUUUGCUUCUAUUUUUUUAUCUAGUGGGCAAAACUUCUUGAAACUUUCACAUAUUGAAUCUAAGCAUUGUGUGGAUUUUUGACAUUUUUUUAUUUUUUUCUAGAAAUUAUCCUUUGGCCAAAAUUUGAAACAAAAAGGCUUUGAAUUUGAAUUUUCGCUCUAGCUUUUUUUAUACUUGGCAAAAAAUUUAAUACUUUCCCAGAUUCUGAGAAUUUUUUCAUUUUUUUUGGGAACUUUUUUUUGGCAAAAUUUGACCCAAAAAUGGCUUGGUGCUGACUAGGCAGUUGACUGGUCAAAACCGGUCAAAGUCAGUCAAAAACCAACCCAGGGUUAUUUUUGUCAUGUUUUGGAAGUUUAGGGUUGUAAAUUAGACGGUUUUGUCGUUCAGGCUUGUGUUUUAGACUUCAGUGGUAGUUCGAGGUUGUAAUAUGGACUUAUCUCAACCCCUUAUAAUUAAUUUAUCGUUCAUGGAUGAAUGUAUCGAUCUACUUAAUCUAAUAUAUGAAAACUGGAAAGAGGGAACACAGACGUCCUAAGCUCCUGCUUUAAUCCCAACCGAUGCCUUCUUCUCCCCAACCUUAUCAUGUAAUUUGAGCAUAUUUUAAUUGGUUAAUGGCUGCAUUUAUGAGCCUUCCCUUAUUACAUUCUUUUCCCUAGUUAUGCUUAAUUUAUACUCCCUUCGCUUCUAAAUAUAAGUCUUUGUAGAGAUUUCACUAUGGACUACAUACAGAUGUAUAUAGAUGCAUUUUAGAGUGUAGAUUCACUCAGUUUGCUCUCUACUUGGUCCAUAGUGAAAUCUCUCCAAAGACUUAGUGUUAGUUACCACCACUUGAGAUUUGUAUGUUGUAUGUAGUAUAUACAAAAUCGGAGAGUAUGUACGUGUAGUAUGUAGUAUAUAAGAAUGUUUAGGUAGUACUCCCUCCGUCCGAAAAUACUUGUCAUCAAAAUGGAUAAAAAGGAAUGUAUCUAAAACUAAAAUACAUCUAGAUACAUCCCCUUUUAUUCAUCUUGAUAACAAGUAUUUCCGGACGGAGGGAAUAUAUAUAUUACUUUUUAGGUAGUAUGCAUCGUAUUUUCAAUAUGCUCCAUUUUACGUACAAAUAUAUACGUAUUUUACAAAUAUAAUAAAAACCAUGGGUCAACUUGCAAUUUUUCAUGUUACCCACUUUGAAUUAUCUUAUAUAUAAUAUAUGAACAUACUUAUAAUGAUAAAGUAGUAUAUAUACACACACUUGUGAUUUUAAAUAUAUUUAUAUACUAUAUCAUCUCUUCUGUGAGUACGUCAACCGUUUUUUUACCCUCUCUUCUAUGACUAUGAUACACAUGCUUGUGCUUAAUCUAGGGGAAAAAAUGUUAUAUCUAAGAUUGUUAGAAGAGAACCAUAUAUGAAAAAGUUCCACGGGAGUCCAUAAUUUUAGUAUAUUUUAGUUCAUUAAUUUGAUCAUAAUAAUAUUUAAAUAUGAACCGAUACUCUAACUAAUUGAUUGUAUAGACUGAUGGUAAAAUGAAGAUGAUGCCCUCAUAUUUGCGAGGGUCAUCCUGCUAGUUGUUUUUGUUUUUGUUACACUGUUACCAAACUCCCUCUACCAUCCACUUCUCUCGCCAUCUCUUGAUGUUUCUCCAUACGAGUUCAGCUGCUCGACUUGGCUUACUUUAGAAGAGCCUGAACCGUCUAGCCAGAUCAGUGUGGUAGACUCGUACACGCACAUGUUGUUCAAGCUAGGCAAUUCACGGUGAGCCUCUAAUUUGCCAUCGAUAAUAGCAGGAAUUAAAUAAAAGUGAUAAUUUCUUAAGUAAAGGCUAAUGUAGUUAUUAGGCCCAAUGGAUCCCUAACAUGAGCUGCUGAUUUGAGGAAACCCUAGAACAAACCGUCUAAGUUCAUGCUCUAUGCUACUUCGCCAAAAAUGAUAGGGCGAACUUGCCAUUAUUUGAUGCGGACAAGCUGAUAAGUAAGCUCUAUGUUUGAAAUAUCAGAGGCAUGUCAACUAAGUACAAGAAUGGCACCGUGGCAAAGGAAGGCAAAGAAGAUAAAGGACCUUUACUAUUUGGUUUGAAUUUUGAAGUCAUUUUCUUACAGGCUUUUCCUGGCAAUGAAAAUGAUUUCUCAAAAAAAUAAUUAAAAAAUCAAUAUUGUUCGUGCAUAUGUUAUCUAUAUGGGGAAUCAAUGGAUUUGAAUCUUGCAAAUACCUCUUUCCUCCUCCUCCUGGUCGUUUUGUUCUCCUACUUGACUGCACGUUAAAUAACAAUUAGUCAGUACAUUGUAUCAGGACAAUAUCGAAAUGUAAUUUAUAUCUUUUCUAUAGCACCAACUUUGACGGUGACUCGUCAUCACUUUUCUUCCCUGGAAAUAUCAAAAGUAAAUAAAACUGGCACUUCAGUAUCAACUUAUUGUUAUAUAACAUCUUCAGAAAAAAGGCAAUCACCUACGUUUUCUUUUCUUGUAUAUUACCUGAGAAAUUCUGCACUGUGAAUACAUUUGAUACACCUUCGAGAACACUUUCAUCGGAAUGCUCACAAAACUUUACCCCAAGCUUGACCCAGUGUUUAUUAGUGGACCGAUCAAAUUUGGUGUCCUUAUGAACAGUACCUUUCCCACCAAUCAGACGAAAUCUGGGCUUUUUGAUUGUCUCAUUUAGCAGCAUUAUUAUGUGUUUCGUAAAAUGUGCCUCGGGCCAGUCCGUGUCUUCUUUGCCAUCAUAGAAAUCUGGGUUCAGGAAAACUAGCUCAACCAUCAGUGAAGCAACGUCGCCAGUUGUAACUUGAUUUCCGUCCAAAUCCUGGAGAACCACCGUUAUGACGUUCCCGUCCUUCGUGGGUAUAGGCUGGUUUGUAUAACAAAUUGGCCCGCUCAUGCCAUCUUUUUUUGUUGUUAGGAGAGGACCAGUCAGGUCACUUUUGAAUACUAGCUUAUAUAUCGGUUUCCUGUCACAUAUACAGAAGAUAUGGUAAGUUCAAAAUAUGGCAACGAUAGAUAUUCUCGUGCAGUCGUGCUUACCACAUGGUGUAUGUGGUAAGCAACCUAAAAAAUACAUAUUCCCGUGCUUAGUUGAACACUUGAACUUACGUCUCAUGUAAAGGUAAAGUCUUAAUUGCAAACGUACGUCUCAUCCUGGCCACGGACAUGUGCUGGCGCACGUCUGUACCAUGAGCCAUUUAGUCUAGUGUACAACAAAAGUAUGGUGGUGAUGAAUGAUCUAUGGAUGCUAUAUGUCGACCAGUCGCUUGGAGAGGUGACAUUUACGAACGUUUUCAUGAGAUUUUUAAUUCUAUCGCGGUCUUAGAAAAUGACAUGUCAUUCUGAAGAAAUUAUCACAGCACACAAAAUAGUUAGCAAAUGUCAUCCCCUCUGAGCGAACAAGCGCCAGAUAAGAGGGCCCAUGAUCUAUGGUGUAGAUUAAAACUAACCCUUCACCUAAAAAGGGCAGUAUUGUCAAAUCACAUGUUGAAAAUAUCCAUCCCACCCGCACAAGACAGCAGACGCCACCGCAACGCAACCCAACGGAAAGUCAGAAAAAAAACAUCCUUGUAUUUUCAUCAUAGACGGCAGCGUGCCGAAGGGCCAUCUCCCACUGUCCGCUCGGCCCGCAGAGCACCGGUGAAUGGUGAUGCUCCCUACCGUGGGGCCGCGUCAGCAGCCGCCCCUGGCACGGACGCCGUGCACGUUCUUGUCCUUCCUCCUCGCUAAGGCUUGGGCCGGCGCUCAGCGAGGCACUCACUGCACUCUGCCUUGCCACCACAAGGCCAACUGCAAUAAAAUUGAUUUGUGUGCGUGCGUAGCUUAUGUGUGUAACUUUGCCUUGUACAAUGAAGGGUGUUUAGGGGAGGUGUUUAGAGAAAUAAAUCAGGAUUUUCUUAAGCACCGGUGCCUAUUUUUAUUAAAGAGACGUUUUGUUAAGCGUCUUACCUGUAGAAAUAGGCACCGAUGCUUCAGAAAAACCCGGUUUAUUUUUCUAAGCACCUUCCUAAAUAUUUCCCAUUAUACAAGGCCUCAUGCACCAAGACGGGGGAUUCAAUCAGCGUCCGUGCUGUCUCGCACUUGCGUAUCUCGGCGGAAUUAAUGAGGUUGAUGGUUUGUAGUGUUCUGGCCAAAAGCACCGGCACAUCGGUCAUGCAAGGCGAUCUUCGUCGGGAGUGCUACGUCCGCCGCCACGCUGGGCAUGCGUUCAUUCCCUACCUCCUGUGGGCGUUGCCGUCGGUUCGCCUCGUCUCCGAUGGCCUUAGAGCCAUGAGGGUGUAGUGGAUCUCGGUCCUUGCCGGCGGGAGGACUUUGUUUUUAGUUAUUUCUUUGCGUUUUGUUAUGUUUUCUGUCCUGCUUAUAAAGACGAGACGGUGGCGGUCCUUCGAAGAUGGAAUAAGGCUCUUCCCGUCUAGCCCCCAUCUUGAUUGUGUGUCUAGCAUCAUCGAUGGGCGUGUGAAGGUGUGUCUUCGCGGAUCUGUUCUUGAUUUGCUAGGAUCUGAUCGUAGUUCAUUUACGUUCAUGUGUUUUCAGGUUGGAUCCUUCUAAUCUGCGUUGAUCCUACUUAACAUGACGACUUUCCAACUGCUACUACAAAAUGUUUUGCCCGGCUCCAACGAGGGAUGGGCAAUGAUGGCGGCGCGUCAUCGGCUCACUUCAGUGCUUGUAGUCGUCGCUAGGUGGUCUACGGAUAUGGAUGUAAUUUAUUAUUAUUUUUGGUGUUCGUUGUACUGUCAUGAUUGAAGAUGAAUAGCUCCAAAGUUUUUCUGAAAAAAAAACUGCCCAAGGCGCCACUCCACUACUCACCCAGCCACCUUAAUUAAUCAUCACACCUAUUAGAAGAUUAAUUUCUCAACUGUUUUGUUUUACGUGGAUGGAUCAAACUACCAUUUUGAAUCUUUUGAGGGGGGAGGGGGAGGAAGCAUGUCCCAUUAUAUAUUUUUCUCAGUAAGUUAGACACCACCAUAUUAUUGAAAUCUCUAUUUUUUGGCGGAAACACCAUAUUCAAAAAAAUCAUUUGGGUUUGUAUAUAUGUUUGAUCCAUCCACGAGAUGUAUGUUCCGGUACUGCAUUAUUCUUUGAAUUUCAGAAAAAGAUCAUUUGAGUUUGUAUAUUUGUUUACUAUCUGUAUUCAGCUUGUAUACAAAUUAAUAUAACAUCUAUAUAUAUCCCCAAAAGAGAAAAACAUGCUGUAUCAAAGCCAACAUUUUAGCACCUAACUAAACUACGUUUAGAGAAAGUUCAUAUAUACCUUCGAGGUGGAAGCACAAUUGGAGGUUCCUGGACGUGUUGCUGCUUUUCUCAAAGAAAAAUAAACAAAUUCAAACUGGUUAGUAUCAUACCAAAUAAAGACCCCUCGUUGCAUAACAAAUGUUCACCGGGGUUCUGUUGCUCUUCUCAGCAAAACCGCCCAACUAUAUAAACUUAAAAAAAAAAACUCCAAGGGUUGAACAUCUAGGUUCGCAGCACAUAUUGUCAAAGAAAAAAAAAGCACUCCGAAUUACCUGCAUUUUGUCCUUCAAUUCUUUCACCUCCUUCUUUAACUCCUGAAUAGCCGCCAAGAUCCUCCUUGUAUCCCCAGAAAGAGGCAACGUAGCAAAAUAAAAGGACCACACCAAGAAUGAACUGAGAUAGGCAAGAAGCCUUAAGACGACACCAACGGAUCUCGGAAGACGUGUACCUCUCCAUGUCGGAUAUUUCAUCCUUCUUCCUCACCAUGGGGAUCCGCCUCGCGAGCUUGCCGUCGUUCUUCCCUGCGAGGCCGUUAGCUUUGUUCUCGUUUAGGAGUGGUGUAGUGGCGAUGGGUGGUCGGCCGGGCUGAAGGCUUUUAAUGGAGAGCUCCCGCGUUGAACAAACCGCGUUCCUUGCUUCGGGGCGAGGUUCCCAACUACUCUCCCUCUCAGCAGCAGCUGCGACGACACUACCCACUGUCCUAAUGGAAUGGUCAAUGAAAAUUUUCAUAUUCCAUCCAGCAAAGCUAUAAAGUGAUGAUUAAAGUUGCCCUCGGCGUGCAUGCAUGAUACUCCCUCCGUUUUCAAAUAUAAGUCUUUUUAGAGAUUCCAACAAGUGACUACAUACAAAACAAAAUAAGUAAAUCUACACUCUAAAAUAUGUCUACAUACAUCCAUAUGUUGUAAUCCAUUUGAAAUGUCUAAAAAGACUUAUAUUUAGGAACGGAGGGAGUACUAUGUUUAGAUGGCAGAACGUACAUUGAACAAUUAACUUCGGCUUCUACUCUCUCCAUCUCUAAAUAUGUCUUUUUAAAGGUUUUGAUAUAGACUACAUACAAACCAAAAUGAGUGAAUCUGCAAUCUAAAAUAGGUUUACGUACAUUUGUAUGUAUUUUUUAUUGAAAUCUCUAAAAAAGACUUAUAUUUGAAAACAUAGAAAGUACAAUGUAUUUUUCUUGAAAAGGAAGGACUCCCCGGCCUCUGCAUCAGAACGAUGCAUACGGCCAACUUUAUAAAUAAGCAAAUAGGUUCAACAAGGUCUUAAAGUCUGAAACAAAAGUAAAGGCAAGCUCACAAAGAGCCAAAGGGCCAAAAACACACUAGCCAAAAGGCCACGACCGGCUGACAUAAGAAAGAUAGAAAAACUAAUUGCCUAUUCUAUUACAUGACCGCCAUCCAAACCGGUUGAAAAUAUCCCGUACUACCAUCUCCCACCAGAUAGAUCCACUAACCAAACGCUCCCUGGCCUCCGUCGGAGUGAGUAGCGACCGCAUACGGAUCAACGCAGUGGAUCGAAAGGGAUCGAAAGAUAACCUGCAAAAAAUGAAUAUUUGUUGUUCUGUUAAAAACCAAAUCAUUUCUGCAGUUCCAUACUGCCCACAAUAAAGUACAUACUCCUACGCGAAUGUGUCUCGUGUUUCGGACUCUAUCCCAUUAAGCCACGUUUCAAAUAACGUGCUGACAUAAUUCGGAGGAGUAAUGUUAAAGGCUAUGUGCACCGUCCGCCAUAAAACUUUUGCCAACGAGCACUCAAGAAAAAGGUGUUUGAUAAUUUCAUCCCGAUCACAAAAACUACCCCUAGUAGGUCCUGUCCAGUUACGCUUUGCCAAGUUAUCCUUAGUUAAUAUGACUUGUUUAUGAACAAACCACAUAAAAACUUUGAUUUUCAAAGUAACUUUGACUUUCCAAACAUAUUUGGAACUAGGAAUGGCGCUAAAGUUGAUAACAUAGAGAUACAUCGAUUUAACUGUGAACUCUCCAGACCUAGUAAGCUUCCAGCGCAACUGAUCGGGCUGUUGAGAUAGAUGAACCUCCAUCAGUCUACUCACUAAAUGAAGCCACGCUUCCCAACGAUUGCCGGCAAGCGUCCUCAUAAAAUGAAUAUUAAGGGGGAUGGACUGAAGUAUCGUUGCAACAUAAGCAUCACGUCGUUGAACAAUACUAUAAAGGGACGGGUACUGAAGCGCGAGUAUCGUCUCUCCUAGCCAAGUAUCCUCCCAGAAUCGCGUGGUAGUGCCAUUACCGAUUAUAAACUUUGUCCUAUUGAAAAAGGCUGAUUUGACUCUCAUGAGCCCCUUCCAAAAAGGCGAGUCCGUCGGUCUCACUGUCACCUGGGACAAAGUUUUGGACUGAAGAUAAUUACUACGGAGAAUCUGCGCCCAUGUGGCCUCGGUCUCAACAGAUAACUUAGACAACCACUUGCUAAGAAGACAUCUGUUCUUGACUUUAAGAUUUUCAAUGCCAAGACCCCCUUGGUCUUUCGGUCGACAAAUAAUAUCCCAUUUGGCGAGUCUGUAUUUUCUUUUUAGUUCAUUGCUCUGCCAGAAAAAUCGGGAUCGAUAGAAGUGCAGCCCUUUCCGAACUCCAACUGGGACUUCGAAGAAAGACAAGAGAAACAUAGGCAUACUCGUGAGCACCGAAUUAAUAAGAAUUAAUCGGCCUCCGUAUGACAUGAGCUUGCCCUUCCAGCAACUCAGUUUCUUCUCAAAGCGAUCCUCGAUGCACUUCCAUUCUCUGUUUGUCAGCUUACGAUGGUGAAUGGGUAUACCUAGAUACGUAAAAGGUAAAGUCCCCAAUUUGCACCCAAACAAUUUCCUAUAAGCCUCUUGUUCCUCAUUGGCUCUUCCAAAACAGAACAAUUCGCUUUUAUGAAAGUUAAUCUUUAACCCGGUCAAUUGUUCAAAUAAGCAUAACACCAACUUCAUAUUUCUCGCUUUUGCCAAGUCAUGCUCCAUAAAGAUGAUCGUAUCACCAGCGUACUGUAGGAUAGACACACCUCCAUCAACUAGAUGAGGCACCAAGCCACCCACCUGACCAGCCUCCUUAGCCCUUCCUAUUAGAAUUGCCAACAUAUCAACCACAAUGUUAAACAAAAUAGGAGACAUCGGAUCACCUUGUCUCAGGCCCUUAUGUGUCUGAAAAUAAUGACCUAUGUCGUCAUUCACUUUAAUUCCAACACUCCCUUUUUGCGUGAAAGAUUCUACCUGGCGUCGUCAGGCUUCAUCAAAACCUUUCAUACAUAAGGCCUGUUGAAGGAAAGGCCAUUUGACUUUAUCGUACGCUUUCUCGAAAUCCACCUUGAAAACAACUCCAUCUAGUUUUUUCGUGUGAAUCUCAUGGAGCGUUUCAUGAAGGACCACAACCCCUUCUAGGAUGUUUCUGUCCGGCAUGAAAGCAGUUUGAGAAUGCUGCACCAUAGAAUGCGCAAUCUGCAUGAGCCUAUUAGUCCCAACCUUGGUAAAUUUUUUGAAACUAACAUUAAGAAGACAGAUGGGCCUGAACUGUUCAAUUCUCACAGCCUCUGUUUUCUUAGGAAGUAGGGUUAUCGUUCCAAAAUUCAGGUGAAAUGACUGAAGCUGUCCCGAGAACAAAUCAUGGAACAUCGGUAGCAAAUCCCCCUUAAUAAUAUGCCAGCAUUUUUUAUAAAACUCCGCCGGAAAUCCAUCCGGUCCUGGAGACUUAUUGUUUUUCAUCUAUGAAAUGGCCUCAAACACCUCUUUCUCGGAAAAAGGGGCAGUCAAAAUAUCCUUCUCAUCAGCAACAAGUUGAGGAACAUCCUCAAUCCUAGACUCAUCCAGGCAUACACAAUUAUCCUUUGGAGGCCCAAACAACUGCUUGUAGUAUUCAGUUAUGUAUAAUUUUAGGUUUUCCUAUCCUAAAAUCGUUCCUUCAUCUCGUUCAAGCUGAAAGAUCCUUUUCUUUCUGUGCUUGCCAUUAGCGAUCAUGCGAAAGAAUUGAGUGUUCGCGUCCCCCUGGACAACUUUGCGAACCUUAGCCCGCAGCGCCCACUUUAAUUCCUCUCCACGGAGAAGCUCUUUCAAUCUCAUCCGCGCCUCAACCUUAGCAUGAAGCUCCGAGGUUGGCAGAAUUGUGGAUUUGGCUUUUAAAUCUAGGGACUGAAUAAGUGUAAGGAGCCUUUCCUUUUCGACCUUAUAAAUCCCACUAAGAUGCUUAGCCCACCCACGCAAGAAACUUCUCAAGUGCCUUAUCUUAUUCUGCCAUCGCUCAACCACAGUCCUACCUCCUGCAUCCUUAGCCCAUUCCCUGGCUACCAGAUCCAAGAAGCCUUCUCGUUCAAACCAGGCCAGUUUGAACGAAAAAGAUUUUUGUUCCCCAUGUGGGUUGCCUCAUCAGAGUCCACAAAUAAAGGCGUGUGGUCUAAAAUACCACGCGUGAGUGCCUGGACCGUUACGAAGGGAAAUUUCUGUUCCCAUUCGACACUCGCUAGGACUUGAUCCAGCUUUUCAAACGUCGGAUUUGGCAGCGGAUUAGCCCAGGUGAAUUUUCUACCCGAAAGCUCUAUCUCUCUCAGAUCCAAGCUUUCAAUAAUGGUAUUAAACAUGAACGACCACCUCCCAUCGAAAUUAUCAUUGUUCUUUUCCUCUCGCCUUCUAAUAAUGUUGAAAUCACCCCCAAUCAGGAUUGGGAGCUGCUCAGAGCCACAAAUCCGAACAAGAUCUGCCAAGAACUCUGGUUUGAGUUCGGGCUACGCGGCACCAUAAACCGCUACCAGAGCCCAAUUAAACCCAUCGGCCUUCAACCUCACCCGAAACUUAACUGCGAAAUCUCCCAUCACCACACUUCGGACUUCGAGCGAAUCAUAUAUAACUCCAAGUAAGAUCCCACCCGAUCUUCCUCUCGAAGGCAGACAGUGCCAAUCAAAAUCGACACCUCCCGAUAAAGUACUGAGAAACUGGGGCGAAAAAUUAUCUCUACCAGUUUCCGACAGAGCAAUAAAAUCCAGCCUAUGCUCGAUAGACGCAUCUGCAAGAAACCUUCUUUUAGCCAAAUCUUUCAGACCUCUGCUAUUCCAAAAGAUUCCUUUCAUAUUUCGUCAUGAAAUUUUUUAGUAGUACGGAUCCUAGCGCUCCUACGCACCUCCGAAGCCGGGUAAAUCUUCCGCUUCCACUUGCGUUUAGGUUUGUUCUGAUCCUCCAGCCGGUCCUCACAACCAGGCUCUGGGGACCUAACUACGGCAGCCGCAAAAGUGUCAUCCUCUUCCUCAGACUCAGGAAGGAAUGGUGCAAGAUCCGCACAAAAAUUAUCGAGCACCCUGACCCCCAACGCAUGGGUUUAACCGCUGCUAAGU